ensembl:misc_RNA 7SK 7SK RNA
GGAUGUGAGAGUGACCUGGCCAUGACACCUGUUACCCCAUUGAUUGCCAGGGUUGAUUUGGCUGAUCUGGCUGGCUAGGCGGGUGUUCCCUUCCUCCACACUACUCCAUGUGCAUCCCUCCCUAAGCUGUGUGCCCAGUGGAAGAGAAUGACCAUUCCCAAUAGAGGAGGACCAGUCUGAGGUCAAGGAUAUAUGAGUAGCUGGGCUUCCAUUCUAAAACCUCCAAACAAACUCUCUAUGAGUAGCUGGGCUUCCAUUCUAAAACCUCCAAACAAACUCUCAACAUAUAUAAAGGACUUAGAAUUCUCCCUAU